AGCAAUACUUCGCCGGCGACCGGCGCACGGGUGAGUAACACGUGUGCAACCAACCCCGUACCGGGAGAUAACCCGCGGAAACGUGGACUAACAUCCCAUGACACCUUUUCCCCGCAUGGGGGAGAGUUUAAAACCCCGGUGGUACGGGACGGGCACGCGCGACAUUAGGUAGUUGGCGGGGUAAGGGCCCACCAAGCCGACGAUGUCUAGGGGUUCUGAGAGGAAGGUCCCCCACACUGGAACUGAGACACGGUCCAGACUCCUACGGGAGGCAGCAGUGAGGAAUAUUGGUCAAUGGGCGAGAGCCUGAACCAGCCAAGUCGCGUGAGGGAAGAAUGGUCUAUGGCCUGUAAACCUCUUUUGCCAGGGAAGAAUAAAAGGUACGUGUACCUUCUUGCCAGUACCUGACGAAUAAGCAUCGGCUAACUCCGUGCCAGCAGCCGCGGUAAUACGGGGGAUGCGAGCGUUAUCCGGAUUUAUUGGGUUUAAAGGGCGCGUAGGCAGGACGUCAAGUCAGCGGUAAAAGACUGCAGCUAAACUGUAGCACGCCGUUGAAACUGGCGCCCUCGAGACGAGACGAGGGAGGCGGAACAAGUGAAGUAGCGGUGAAAUGCAUAGAUAUCACUUGGAACCCCGAUAGCGAAGGCAGCUUCCCAGGCUCGAUCUGACGCUGAUGCGCGAGAGCGUGGGUAGCGAACAGG
rnacentral:rRNA from 1 species